GAUGAACGCUGGCGGCGUGCCUAAUACAUGCAAGUCGAGCGAACAGACGAGGAGCUUGCUCCUCUGACGUUAGCGGCGGACGGGUGAGUAACACGUGGAUAACCUACCUAUAAGACUAGGAUAACUUCGGGAAACCGGAGCUAAUACCGGAUAAUAUAUUGAACCGCAUGGUUCAAUAGUGAAAGACGGUUUUGCUGUCACUUAUAGAUGGAUCCGCGCCGCAUUAGCUAGUUGGUAAGGUAACGGCUUACCAAGGCAGCGAUGCGUAGCUGACCUGAGAGGAGGGUCAGCAACAUUGGAGCUGAGACACGGUCCAGGCUCCUACGGGAGGCCGCAGUGGGGAAUAUUGGACAAUGGGCGCAAGCCUGAUCCAGCCAUACCGCGUGGGUGAAGAAGGCCUUCGGGUUUUAAAGCUCUUUUGUUGGGAAAGAAAAGCAGCAGGUUAAUACCCCGCUGUUCUGACGGUACCAAAAGAAUAAGCACCGGCUAACUUCGUG
rnacentral:rRNA from 1 species